rnacentral:rRNA from 1 species
UACGGAGGGUGCAAGCGUUAUCCGGAUUCACUGGGUUUAAAGGGUGCGUAGGCGGUCCUAUAAGUCAGUGCUGAAAUAUCCCGGCUUAACCGGGAGGGUGGCAUUGAUACUGUUGGACUUGAGUAAAGUUGAGGUUGGCGGAAUUGACGGUGUAGCGGUGAAAUGCUUAGAUAUCGUCAAGAACACCGAUUGCGAAGGCAGCUAACUAAGCUUUAACUGACGCUGAGGCACGAAAGUGUGGGGAUCAAACGGG